AUUGAACGCUGGCGGCAGGCCUAACACAUGCAAGUCGAACGAGUGGCGGACGGGUGAGUAAUGUCUGGGCAACUGCCCGAUGGCGGGGGAUAACUCCUGGAAACGGUCGCUAAUACCGCAUACCAUCGGAUGUGCCCAGAUGGGAUUGGCUAGUAGGUGGGGUAACGGCUCACCUAGGCGACGAUCCCUAGCUGGUCUGAGAGGAUGACCGGCCACACUGGAAUUGUGACACGGGUCAGAAUCAUACGGGAGGCAGAAGGGGGGAAUAUUGCAGAAUGGGCGCAAGCCUGAUGCAGCCAUGCCGCGUGGAUGAAGAAGGCCAUCGGGUUGUAAAGUACGUUCAGCGAGGAGGCGUUACUCGCAGAAGAAGCACCGGCUAACUCCGUGCCAGCAGCCGCGGUAAUUC
rnacentral:rRNA from 1 species